rnacentral:rRNA from 1 species
CUGCUUCGCUGACGAGUGGCGGACGGGUGAGUAAUGUCUGGGAAACUGCCUGAUGGAGGGGGAUAACUACUGGAAACGGUGGCUAAUACCGCAUAACGUCGCAAGACCAAAGAGGGGGACCUUCGGGCCUCUUGCCAUCAGAUGUGCCCAGAUGGGAUUAGCUUGUUGGUGAGGUAACGGCUCACCAAGGCGACGAUCCCUAGCUGGUCUGAGAGGAUGACCAGCCACACUGGAACUGAGACACGGUCCAGACUCCUACGGGAGGCAGCAGUGGGGAAUAUUGCACAAUGGGCGCAAGCCUGAUGCAGCCAUGCCGCGUGUAUGAAGAAGGCCUUCGGGUUGUAAAGUACUUUCAGCGGGGAGGAAGGUGUUGUGGUUAAUAACCGCAGCAAUUGACGUUACCCGCAGAAGAAGCACCGGCUAACUCCGUGCCAGCAGCCGCGGUAAUACGGAAGGUGCAAGCGUUAAUCGGAAUUACUGGGCGUAAAGCGCACGCAGGCGGUCUGUCAAGUCGGAUGUGAAAUCCCCGGGCUCAACCUGGGAACUGCAUUCGAAACUGGCAGGCUUGAGUCUUGUAGAGGGGGGUAGAAUUCCAGGUGUAGCGGUGAAAUGCGUAGAGAUCUGGAGGAAUACCGGUGGCGAAGGCGGCCCCCUGGACAAAGACUGACGCUCAGGUG